rnacentral:rRNA from 1 species
UACAGAGGUCUCAAGCGUUGUUCGGAUUCAUUGGGCGUAAAGGGUGUGUAGGUGGCGCGCUAAGUCGGGUGUGAAAUUUCGGAGCUUAACUCCGAAACUGCAUUCGAUACUGGCGUGCUUGAGGACUGGAGAGGAGACUGGAAUUCAUGGUGUAGCAGUGAAAUGCGCAGAUAUCAGGAGGAACACCGGUGGCGAAGGCGGUGGUCUGGGCCGGCACUGACGCUGAGGAGCGAAAGCGUGGGGAGCGAACAGG